UACGGGGGGGGCGAAGCGUUGUUCGGAAUUACUGGGCGUAAAGGGCCAGUAGGCGGCCAACUAAGUCCGACGUGAAAUCCCAAGGCUUAACCUUGGAACUGCGUCGGAUACUGGAUGGCUUGAAUUCGGGAGAGGGAUGCAGAAUUCCAGGUGUAGCGGUGAAAUGCGUAGAUAUCUGGAGGAAUACCGGUGGCGAAGGCGGCAUCCUGGACCGACAUUGACGCUGAACGGCGAAAGCUAGGGGAGCAAACGGG
rnacentral:rRNA from 1 species